AAAAUCAAGAGCUGGCCUCCGGAGAGAAAGAGAGAGAGAGAAGGCCGCUAACUUCCUCGGAGCGUUGUGAUCAUCAUCAUCCCGAUCGGAUCUGCCGUGGAGCUCGGGAGGACGUCAGGGAGCGAACAUCUCAGGAAGUCAUCAGAUGUUGAAACGUGCUCAGAGAAGACACCUAGCAAGUAUGUGUCACAUGACAACAAAGGCCACAACAAUAGGUACACCUGCACAAUGUCACGUGAUAUAUUUAAAGCGGGACAUUAUCACAAUUUCAGAAGGGUUAAAACCAAUAAAAAUCAGUUCCCUGUGGCUUAUUUUA